rnacentral:rRNA from 1 species
CGGCGUGCUUAACACAUGCAAGUCGAACGAUGAAGCUGGAGCUUGCUCCAGUGGAUUAGUGGCGAACGGGUGAGUAACACGUGAGCAAUCUGCCCUUGACUCUGGGAUAACUGCGGGAAACUGUAGCUAAUACCGGAUACGACACCUUGGGGGCAUCCCAGGGUGUGGAAAGAAUUUCGGUCAAGGAUGAGCUCGCGGCCUAUCAGCUAGUUGGUGAGGUAAUGGCUCACCAAGGCGACGACGGGUAGCCGGCCUGAGAGGGUGACCGGCCACACUGGAACUGAGACACGGUCCAGACUCCUACGGGAGGCAGCAGGUGGGGAAUAUUGCACAAUGGGCGAAAGCCUGAUGCAGCAACGCCGCGUGAGGGAUGAAGGCCUUCGGGUUGUAAACCUCUUUUAGCAGGGAAGAAGCGAAAGUGACGGUACCUGCAGAAAAAGCACCGGCUAACUACGUG